rnacentral:rRNA from 1 species
AGGGUCUGAUCCGGGCUCGAUUAACGCUGGCGGGAUGCUUUACGUAAAGUCGAACGGCAGCACGGACUUCGGUCUGGUGGCGAGUGGCGAACGGGUGAGUAAUGUAUCGGAACGUUCAGUAGGGGGAUAACUACGAAAGCAUAAUACUGCAUACGUUCUCUGGGAGUAGACCUUCGGGCCUCGCACCAUAGAGCGGCUGAGGCCAUCGGAUUAGCUAGCUGGUGGGGUAACGGCUCACCAAGGCGACGAUCCGUAGCUGGUUUGAGAGGACGACCAGCCACACUGGGACCGGAGACACGGCCCAGACUCCACGGAGCAGCGUGGUGUAGAAUGGAUAAUGGGGAAACUCUGAUCCAGCCAUCCCGCGUGCGAUGGGCGGCCUCGGGUCAAAGCACUUUUGGCAGGAAAGAAACGGCACGGAUAAUACCCUGCAAAACUGACGGUACCUGUAGAAUAAGAACUGGAGCAACGCUGCCAGCAGCCAUGGUACAGGUGCAGCAGACUGAAUUUAUCAAGGAAGCAGUAUGGUUCGAAAGAAAGAUGUGAAAUCCCAGAGCUACGAAUCUGGAACCUGCAUUUUUAACUCACGAGCUAGAGUGUGUCAGAGGGAGGUGGAAUUCCGCGUGUAGCAGUGAAAUGCGUAGAUAUGAGUGGAACACCGAUGGCGAAGGCAGCCUCCUGGGAUAACACUGACGCUCAUGCACGAAAGCGUGGGGAGCAAACAGGAUUAGAUACCUGUAGUCCACGCCCUAAACGGCUGCCAACUAGCUGUUAGCUCCCGGCCUUGGUAAAGUGCAGCGACCAGGUAGUUGACCGCCUGGGGAGUACGGUCGCAAGAUUAAAACUCAAAGGAAUGAUGGGAUCUGCACAAGGUGGAUGAUGUGUGGACGAAUCUGAUGCAACGCGAAAACUCCAUCACCCUUGACAUGUCUGGAACUGGAAGAGAUUUGGGAGUGCUCGUAAGAGAACCGGAACACAGGUGCUGCAUGGUUGCCAAUACUGUGUCGUGAGAUGUUGCUGGAACCCGCAAUCGAGCGCAACCUUGUCAUUAGUUGCUACGAGAAAGGGCACUCUACUGAGACUUGCUAUGACAAAACCGGAGGAAGGUGGGGAUGACGUCAAGUCCCUGGUAUUCCCAGGUAGGGUCACACACAUGAAUGGUCAAUGAGGCCGCCAACCCGAGGGGAGCCAACCCAGAAACCCUGAUCGUGGUCCGGAUCGCAGUCCGAAAACCGACUGCGUGAAGUCGGAAUCGCUAGUAAUCGCGGAUCAGCAUGUCGCGGUGAAUAGCGUUCCGGGUCUUGUACACACUGCCUGUCACACCAUGGGAGUGGGUUUUACCAGAAGUAGUUAGCCUAACCGGGUGAGGGCGAUUACCACGGUAGGAUUCAUGACUGGGGUGAAGUCGUAAACUUACGUAA